AACGAACGCUGGCGGCAUGCCUAACACAUGCAAGUCGAACGAGACCUUCGGGUCUAGUGGCGCACGGGUGCGUAACGCGUGGGAACCUGCCCUUAGGUUCGGAAUACCUCCCCGAAGGGGGUGCUAAUACCGGAUAAUGUCUUCGGACCAAAGAUUUAUCGCUUUUGGAUGGGCCCGCGUUGGAUUAGCUAGUUGGUAGGGUAAAAGCCUACCAAGGCGACGAUCCAUAGCUGGUCUGAGAGGAGGAUCAGCCACACUGGGACUGAGACACGGCCCAGAAUCCUACGGGAGGCAGCAGUGGGGAAUAUUGGACAAUGGGCGAAAGCCUGAUCCAGCAAUGCCGCGUGAGUGAUGAAGGCCUUAGGGUUGUAAAGCUCUUUUACCCGGGAUGAUAAUGACAGUACCGGGAGAAUAAGCUCCGGCUAACUACGUG
rnacentral:rRNA from 1 species